rnacentral:tRNA from 11 species
GGCGGGGUAGCCAAGUGGUAAGGCGACGGUCUGCAAAAUCGUUAUUCGCGGGUUCGAUUCCCGCUCCCGCCUCCA